rnacentral:rRNA from 1 species
AGCAGUAGCCGCGGGAAUACGAAGGGGGCUAGCGUUGCUCGGAAUGACUGGGCGUAAAGGGCGCGUAGGCGGUUUGUACAGUCAGAUGUGAAAUUCCUGGGCUCAACCUGGGGGCUGCAUUUGAUACGUGCGAACUAGAGUGGGGAAGAGGGUCGUGGAAUUCCCAGUGUAGAGGUGAAAUUCGUAGAUAUUGGGAAGAACACCGGUGGCGAAGGCGGCGACCUGGUCCUUGACUGACGCUGAGGCGCGAAAGCGUGGGGAGCAAACAGGAUUAGAUACCCCUGUAGUCCCUGUCUCUUAUAC